UUCAUUUAUUUGCAAGAAAAGAGAUAGAGGUGCUUGGAAUGAUACUGACAAGAUUAGCAUGGCCCCUGCGCAAGGAUGACUUGCAAAUUCGUGAAGCACUCCAUUUUCUU
ensembl:snRNA U6 U6 spliceosomal RNA